CUUUCUGUGUCAGGAGGAAGCAACAGGACCCUGGCACCGAACAGACCUCACACUUCCCUCAUGCCACUUGUUUACCGACCGGGGAAUAGGGAAAAUGAGGUCAAGGAGCCUCUGGCUGCUGCUUCCCUCUUUCCCAGGCCCAGGUGACCUGGGAGAUGAUCGUCAGAAGCAGAUACCAUCAUCCACUGCCUUGGUGCCUGUGAGACUCAAACUGACAUGUGAUAUCAGAGGGGUUCUGCUGAAACCCCCUGUUAUCCUUCUGAGAGUGGCAAGCUUAGAAGUCUAAAAAGAUAUAGAUUUUCAUAUCCAAACUAAGAGGGGUAUUCUAGAAAAACACAGGUUAUAUUUUUCAUAGAACCAAUUUUUGCCUUUCACUUUGAUCAAGCAACUAGCAGCCCAAGCCCUAACUCUCUGGUUUCUUAGUUCUUUUCGCAGCCUCACUUUACAGAUAAGGUCAACUGAGGCUCAGAGGGAUUAAGUGACUCAUUUCAGGUCCCACAGCUGGUAAAUUGUAUAGUCCAGGAUUGCAAGCCAAGAUUUUUGGUUGUCUUUACCCAUUGGUGGCCUUUUUGGAUGAAUACAUCACCAAAACAUUUUUAGGCUUAUUUGUUAUUUUAAGAGAGAUGCUUGAAGAAGACCGAAACUUCCUAAAAUGAAGAGAGGCUGAAUCCCGGUUAGGAAAACCAGCACGUAUUUAUGAGAUUCUAAGCAAAUUAUCUGUCUCUGUCGGACACCAACAGAUCACUAUUGUCAAGGCUCCACAGAGAUAAACACCCCCCUCCAAAUGAACAAAACAAAGGCCUGCUCAUCACCUUUGGAACACAUUGCUUUCUUUAGACCAUGAUUGUACCUGAGCUCCUGAGAACUUACCUCUCAGAAGAAAGAAUGAAGACAGCUCACAAGAUUCCACUCUAGAAGAAGGAUUAUUGAGGGGGCAAAGUUUGUCUCUGUGUACCCUAACCUUCAGAUUCUGCGUUCCUUCUGUUCCUAAAAGUAACAACCAUUGUUAAAUACUACUGCAAAGAAAAUAUUUGACCAAGACUUUCCAGGCAUCUUCCUUGUCACGAGAGCACUGAAACAGCCCUACAGAGAGGUGUACAUGGGGAAGAGCAGAGGCCUCCUGCCAACCCCAGACAUCAACUAUCAUCAUGUAAGUAAGCCCUCUUGGAAGUGGAUCCUCCAACCCUAGUCAAGCCUUCAGACAACUGCAGCCCAGCUGACAUCUUGACUGCCACUUCCUGAGACAUCCAAGCCGGAACUGCCCAGCUGCGCUGCAUCGGGAUUCCUGACCAAUAGAUAUGUGAAAUAAUAAAUGAUUUUGUUUGUUUGUUUUAAACUGC
rnacentral:lncRNA from 1 species